GGUGCGUAACGCGUAUACAAUCUGCCUUUCACAUAGGGAUAGCCCGAAGAAAUUUGGAUUAAUACCUAAUGGUAUAUAGAAGUGGCAUCGCAUUUAUAUUAAAGCUGAGGCGGUGAAAGAUGAGUAUGCGUUCUAUUAGCUAGUUGGAGAGGUAACGGCUCCCCAAGGCUACGAUAGAUAGGGGUUCUGAGAGGGAUAUCCCCCACACUGGUACUGAGAUACGGACCAG
rnacentral:rRNA from 1 species